UUGAUCAGCCACACUGGAAUUGAGACACGGUCCAGACUCCUACGGGAGGCAGCAGUAGGGAAUAUUGCGCAAUGGAGGAAACUCUGACGCAGCGACGCCGCGUGGGUGAUGAAGGCCUUCGGGUCGUAAAGCCCUGUCGGAAGGGAAGAAACACGGAAUGGCUAACAUCCAUUCCGCUUGACGGUACCUUUAAAGGAAGCACCGGCUAACUACGUGCCAGCAGCCGCGUAAUACGUAGGGUGCAAGCGUUGUUCGGAAUCAUUGGGCGUAAAGCGCGUGUAGGUUGUUUGUUAAGUCGGAUGUGAAAUCCCUGGGCUCAACCCAGGAAGGGCAUUCGAAACUAACUAGCUAGAAGAUGGUAGAGGAAGGUGGAAUUCCAAGUGUAGAGGUGAAAUUCGUAGAUAUUUGGAGGAAUACCAGCGGCGAAGGCGGCCUUCUGGACCAUUCUUGACACUGAGACGCGAAAGCGUGGGUAGCAAACAGGAUUAGAUACCCUGGUAGUCCACGCCGUAAACGAUGGGUACUAGGUGUUGCGGGAAUUGACCCCUGCAGUGCCGACGCUAACGCAUUAAGUACCCCGCCUGGGAAGUACGGCCGCAAGGUUAAAACUCAAAGGAAUUGACGGGGGGCCCGCACAAGUGGUGGAGCAUGUGGUUUAAUUCGAUGCAACGCGAAGAACCUUACCUGGGUUAGACAAUACAGGACAGCCGUAGAGAUACGGUUUCCCCUUCGGGGGCCUGUAGUUUAGGUGCUGCAUGGCUGUCGUCAGCUCGUAUCGUGAGAUGUCGGGUUAAGUCCCUUAACGAGCGCAACCCCUAUCCCUAGUUGCCAUCGUUCAGUUGGGCACUCUAUGGAGACUGCCGGUGUUAAACCGGAGGAAGGCGGGGAUGACGUCAAGUCCUCAUGGCCUUUAUGUCCAGGGCAACACACGUGCUACAAUGGCCGGUACAGAGGGUCGCCAACCCGCAAGGGGGAGCUAAUCUCAGAAAGCCGGUCUCAGUUCGGAUUGAAGUCUGCAACUCGACUUCAUGAAGCUGGAAUCGCUAGUAAUCGCGGAUCAGAACGCCGCGGUGAAUACGUUCCCGGGCCUUGUACACACCGCCCGUCACACCACGAAAGUCAACUGCACCAGAAGUCGCUGUCCCAACCGUAAGGGGGGAGGCGCCCAAGGUUUGGUUGAUGAUUGGGGUGAAGUCGUAACAAGGUA
rnacentral:rRNA from 1 species